UGCAUAAGGUGUUGGAAAACAUUAUAUAGACAUGAAAGAACUAGACAGUAAAAAGUGCAAAUUACAUGUUUUUAAAUGGAUGGUAUUCAGAAAAAUCCAGCAGAUAAAGGUGAAGAAUGGGGGCUGGCCCUGUGGCCAAGUGGUUAAGUUCAUGUGCUCCGCUGCAGGCGGCCCAGUGUUUCGUUGGUUUGAAUCCCGGGUGCGGACAUGGCACUGCUCACCAAGCCACGCUGAGGCAGCGUCCCACAUGCCACAACUAGAAGGACCCACAACAAAGAAUCUACAACUAUGUACUGGGGGGCUUUGGGGAGAAAAAGGAAAAAUAAAAUCUUUCAAAAAAAAAGGUGAAGAAUGGUGAGGAAAAGAGUAAACUAUUAUGUGUGUGUCUAAUUAUUUUUUUAUCUUUUCAGUUUUGUUCUUUUCUCAGUCUGAACUAUUCUACUUCUGGGAGAAAAAUAAAACCAAAGGAUUCGUAUAGGAUCUUCUCUAGGAAAUGAAUCUAUGGAUUUCCUGAUUUGAAGGGCAGGGCUUCUAAUCUAGUGUGGUGUCUACUAGUCUUCAAGGGAAAAGAAAAGCCAGAAGAGCUGACCAUUGUCCCUAAGGGACUGGCAUUGGAAAUGCACUAAACAUCGGCCAGGGUGUGACGAGUGCUACUUAUGUUUCCUUCCUUACGCAUGUCCUGUCCCAUGGAAUGCAUUUUCCAAUGGCUCAAGUCUGUGACAGUUAAUGCAGAAUUUUGUGGAGUAUAAGCUUCUGAACUGAGAAGUCUAUCUAAUUUAAAAGUAUGGAACUCAGAGCUGGGAGAAACCUUAGAAAGUAUCUGACGUUUUAUUUUACAGGUGAGAAAACCGAGGUCCUGAGAGCAUAAUUAACUUGAUGAAAGUCUAAUGAUGCCAAUACUAAAGGCAACAAAACAAAACAAAGCACCAAAAACCAGCAUUCUGAUUAGCAGUCUGGGGCUUUGCAGUACACCUUCCUAUAACUGAUGUAAUUUACUACUCCCUCUGCUGUGUCUGAACCUCUGUAAGGGAUUUCCAUGUUAGGUGUCUUGUUUUUAUGGGAUACAUACUAAGAGAGAAUAGCAGUAGUUGAAC
rnacentral:lncRNA from 1 species